rnacentral:rRNA from 1 species
CACGUAGGGCGCAAGCGUUGUCCGGAAUUAUUGGGCGUAAAGAGCUCGUAGGCGGCUUGUCGCGUCGACUGUGAAAACCCGCGGCUCAACCGUGUGGUCUGCAGUCGAUACGGGCAGGCUAGAGUUCGGUAGGGGAGACUGGAAUUCCUGGUGUAGCGGUGAAAUGCGCAGAUAUCAGGAAGAAUAUCCGUGGCGAAGGCGGCUCUCUGGGACGGUACUGACGCUGAGACGCGAAAGCGUGGGGAGCGAACAGG